GUAAGCUAUGCUAUAUCAAAUGGUUAUAAUAAUAAUAAUAGUCAUUAAGACAUUUGAUUCCGUCUUUAUUAACUUAAGAGGUUUUUAAAUCAAAUUCUUAAACGGGAAGCAAAUAAAAAAAAUUAAUAUACAAAUAGAUUUCCGAAACAAAAAUGUUAACUAUGGAAAAUAACUGAGCAAAAAAUUCGAAAUGUGAAUAGAUAUUAAGUAGAUGGAAUUUCUUUAUUGGGCACGAAAUAAUUAUAAUAAAAACUCAAAUAUCAACACACAAAACAAAUUUAACUCGAAAUUUGAUGUGUAAGCAGCUAUUAACGAAUGGAAUCCCCUUUGAUCAAAAAGCAAAUACCAAAAAGUUGCGGGCACGAAAGGGAUCUUGGCCAAAAAAACAAAACCAAAAACGUUAACAAUCUUUAACAAACGAAAUUUCCUUAUAUCAGAAUUCAAAAUCAAUCAAAAAUCAAUGAUCAGCCAAAGGCUACUCAAACAAGUUUAUUCGACUAUUUUCGAAUGAAAUGCCCUAAUAAAACAAAAAGACUGCAUCUUAAAUAUUUCAUUUGCUAAAGUAAUUGAACAAUAAUGAUUAAAUGUAAAAGCUUUUUAACAGCGCAAUCGCCUAACAUACGAAAAGAAUGCUAGUUCGAAAUUAACAGAGGCGCCCGAGCAGGGCUCUUAACCAAAACAUGCAACAUCAGCCGAAAAGUUUAUUAUUAAAUGUUAUUAAAUAUACUAAUAAAAGGAAAACACUGCAGCUUAAAGAUUACAAUUGCAGGGGUAAUGAAAAAAUAGAGUUAAAUGUAAAAGCAUUAUAACAGUGCAAUCGCCUGGCAUACGAAAAUAUUUAACAGUGGCGCCCGAGCAGGGAUCUGACGCAAAAGAAAUAAAAUGUUUCCGCACGGAAUUCCCCGAUUUGCAAAACACGCUAGGAACGUUGCUAAUCCGGUAUUUUGUUUUUUUUUUUUUGUUUUUGUUUUAGUGAAAUAGCAGUUCCAUCACGUUUGAUUGCCCGCAUAAACAUGCCAGCAUUUGGUGCACGCCAACAAAACUGUUAACAGGCGCUUCUCGUAUCGAUUUGAUAAGUUUUUGGCAGCAGCAAUUUAGGUUUCUGCGUGUCGUGUUAGGUUCUUUGAUUGUUUCAACGAUAUAUGGGCCCCGACAAGAGUGUGUUUGGCUUUUACACGACGCGACGAUUUUGUUGCCCUAAUGCGGGCGUCGGCUUCCGCUGCCAAUAUAAAUAAUAAUAAAUUAACAAAAACAUACUUAAAAGCGUUGGCCAUGAAAUUGUGGCCAAGGCGCUGGGUGGGUUCAAAUCAAAAGCCGUUAGACUUGCCACUUGGCCAGAGGAGGUGAAGGCGUGGCCCACUCUAUGUCGACGAUAAACGGUACUCGUAUCUUAUAAAGCGCUCGUCGAGGUAAACUGAACUCAAGCCAGUUUUGUAUGUAAUGGCAAUCAAUGUGUUAAUAAGUGGCAGUUAACUUUUGUGCUGUUACUUCAAUAUUUGCACAUCGUUACAACUGGAAUUCGAGUGUGCAUGCAAAGUCUCUAUUGUUUUUGACUUCUUAAUCAUAUAUAUAUAUAUAUAUAUAUAUAUAUAUAUAUAUUUGCCCGGUUGAAUAACACUAAUUGACAUACAAACGCGGAGGGAAAACAGAGAGUAAGAGGCGCCGAAACGGAUCGACUUGGAACGGAUCGGACGGAUGGGACGGCACAAGCGAACGUGCACUUAAGCCGGCAUCGCACUCUACAACCUUGACAAAGAGAAUUGCAAUUAACGUCCAAAACUAAUUUGCGUACAAAGUGCAGAAAAAAAAGGAGAGGCACGCGCUGAACAAGAACGCAACAAGCAUUUUAGCAAUAUUUAUCAUAACUGGAAUUUAUAUUGGUCAACAUAGCGCCACUUUGCCAGCAGAAAUUAUGUCAAUUAAUGGCAAGAAUCAAAAACACAUAAACACGCGCAAUUCUUUGAAAUUCUAUCUCUGUGGAAAAGCCGACAGCACAAAACUUUUUUGAUUGGCUUAAUUAUGCACAAUAAAUACAGUUCGUUCAUAUA